AAGCGUUGAAGUAAUACGUUGUUUCAGGACGCAGUGUUUAUGGAGCUUUAUAAGGGUUAUAUAUUUACCACAACCUGGAUAGGGGAGACCCGAAAGAAAAUAUAGUAU
rnacentral:sRNA from 12 species